UCGGGGAGGGCGAUCCCCCGUUCAGGCGAAGCCUCGCCCAAGAAUCGC
rnacentral:ncRNA from 1 species